GCCAUCAAACUUCUGAGCGUUUAGGACUUGAAUUCUGCUUUUAGGUCUGUGUGCCAUUACGCUCCCAACGUGCUCUGCGUCACGAGCAGAAGUGGGGCACUUGAACUAUUGCCCAAAGUGGAUUUUCAUGGCUAAUUUUU